ACACAAAUCACCUGGAGACCUUGUUAAAAUGCACAUUCUGAUUCAAUACACCUGGAAUGAACACUGAGCGGCUUCAUUGCUAAUAAGCUCUCAGAUGAUUAGAAU
rnacentral:pre_miRNA from 1 species